rnacentral:misc_RNA from 1 species
GAUAUUAGUUUCUAAAUAGACUCGGGGCUAUCAACAACAUCAUUAUGAACAAAUUUGUAGUUUUUGGACUUUUAUUAUUUCUUUGUAAAACAGAAAUCAUAAGUAGUUUUCCUAUUUUAAAUGAAGAUGACUCAAGCGAACCAAAUUUGUUCAAUUCAUACGAAAACUACAAAAAUUAUGAAAAAAAAGUUAUCGACUAUAUUCGUAAUUUGGAAUUAGAGAUGAAUGAAUUAAAUGGUUCUGACCAGUUAUCCGAUAUGAUGAAUACUGAUUACCACAACAUUGAUAAAAGGCGAAGACGGAGGUAUGGGUUCUGGAUUACAGCAAUCAAUAAAAUGGGAAAUGGUGGUAAGAGGAGUUUGUUCAAAAGAAAUGGUAAAUUUAUUCCAAUUACAACAUUGUCUUCCAAAUUAUUAAAUCUUCCAAAUUUUGGAUAAAAUAUUGGUACUUGAUGAUCAAAGUCUUCCAAAAUGUAACUUUUUGUCUUCCAAUUUCUGAGUAUGUCUAUCUUUGUUAGAUACUCUAGACCUUAAUGACAAAUAAUAUAAAUAUUGAUUUAUAUAUGUAGCACGUGGAUUUCUUUGUCAUACUAUAAAAUUAAGGAAUAGGUUUAAGAGCAAGGGCUCUCAACACCUUUGUACCAGGGACAGAUCUCCGUAUAAACAAAAUUUGGACCGGUAUAUAUAUUUUAUGUGUAUUAAUCCCAUACCCCUAAGUUUUUUUUAGAUUCUAUAUUUUUUUAACUUCAUAUCAUUCGUAAUUUUUAGAAAAUUCACCAUAUCCUGAGCAUUUGACUACUCGAGGAAUUAUAGACUCAUGGAAGACACAAACUUUUUUUUCUCGUUGUAGGAUAGGAAUAAUAACUUUUUUUUUUCUAAAUUAAAAAUUAUUUAUUUAUGACAACAACCUACUUUCGAUGUAAUUUAGGAAGAAGAUCAUUUGUUUUAUUUUGUGGCCACUGUAUAAUAAAACACCGAAAAGUAAUAAAUAAGGAUUUUAUAUUAGUCUAAUUUUUAAUGAUAAAAUGAUGGUUUUAUAAUUCAAUCGAAGAUGCUAUAUAGAGCUUGGAGAAAGAGUAUGAACAAAUCCUGAACUUCAUGGCAGUAAACAAGCUUACCAGAUUAAGAGAUUUUAGAUAUCCUAAAAAUUGAAGAUAAGAUCGGGGGAGUGUUUGUACUUGAAAAUUUGUUUUUCAAAAAUUGAAUUGCUUGGUCAACCUCAAGCCCAUAUUAUCCUCAAAGUUAUGGUAUUGCAGAAGCAGUUGUGGAAAUUUUGAAAAGUUUACUUGAUAAUAGCGCAACUCAAAGAUUAAACUCCCAUGAGUUUCGUGACGGUUUGUUAGAAUACCGGAAUACACCUUGUAGAUAUUCUCCAAAUUAAGUGGUUUAUGGCCAAAAUUUAAGAUCCUACAUCCCUACGCUAUUAAGAAACCGUUACACAAUAUAAUAAAA